GAAGGAGCAAUGCAGAGAAAACAAAUACUUGCCCUGAUUAAAUGAGGGUACUGAGAAGAGGAAAGAGGAAAACAACUUUUAUGUCUUAUUAACAAUGGUAGUGUGUAUAUAUGAGUCUGUGUACAAAAGAAGGAAAGGAGGUAACAUUUAAAUACUCAGAAAGGCAAUGGAUGAUAGUGAAAGGGCUCACGAGAAUGUGAACAUCUUGUGACUAAAAACUGUGACUAAGAUCCAAAAAAAUAGGAAAUUAUGACACUUGGUAGUCAUCAAUAAUAAAUGCCUUUUUUUGUGGUACAGGGGUUUGAACUCAGGGCUUUCACACUUGCUUAAGCCACACCUCCAACCCUUUCUGCUCUGAUUAUUUUGGAGAUAGGGUCUCAUUUUUUGCCCAGGUCAUCCACGACUUUGAUCCUUCUAUUUUACACUUCCCACCAUACCUAGGAUAGGUAAAAUUUUUUGCCCAGGCCAGCCUGGAACCAAAAUCUUCUCGAUCUGAGCCUCCUGUGUAGCUUAGAAUGACAGGUGCCUGCCACUGCACCCAGCUAUUGGUUGAGAUGGGAUCUUGUGAACUAUUUCCCCAGGCUGGCCUCAAACCAUGAUGCUCCCAAUCUCAGCCUCCCAAGCAGCUAGGAUUACAGGUAUGAGUCACCAGCACCUGGCUAGAAUGCCUUCUUUUAAGAUUUAGAAAUGCUUAAAGGUUUAUUAAUCACUUUUCAUUUAAUCAUAUGAAACCAAAGUAUUUCCUGGAAGAAGCAACUCUUUUUUUUUUGUUUUGUUUUGUUUUAGAAACAGCUUAAGAGUCUAACUGUGACUGCUGGGGAGUACAAUCUCUCUCAUAAAGAAGAGCAAGAAUAGAAUAUUCCUGUCUAAAAAUUAUUAUACAUCCUGAGUAUAACCACCUGGGAUUUAUGAAUUCUGAUACUGUACUGCUAUAUCUAAAACACGAAGUGAAGUUUGAGGGACUCUGGAAGACCCCUAGUUUGUAGAAGAAGUAGUAGAACAUGGACUCUCGCCAGGAUAACUUCCUGGGUAGCUGGUUUUGCUAAAGGCUCAGGUCCUCUAAGAAAUAACUGCAGAAUAACAUCAGCAGGCAUCUUUUCUGAGGUGGCUGAGUUCAUGGAUUUUAUCAUUUAAAAUAUAAUCACAGGUAAGAAAUUCUUUCUUUCCCAUUUCAUUCCAAGUCAAAAAUUGUUGAUGCCUGUCUCAAGAGUAGUCAGUCUAAUAUGUUGUGA
rnacentral:lncRNA from 1 species